rnacentral:RNase_P_RNA from 1 species
GGAGUUGGCCAGGCAAUCGCUCGAUCCAUGUGGUCGGGAGGAAAGUCCGGGCUCCAUCGGGCAGGGUGCCAGGUAACGCCUGGGGGACGUGAGUCCACGGCUAGUGCCACAGAAAAUAUACCGCCUUGCGCCUUUUAGGAGGCAAAGGGUAAGGGUGAAAUGGUGCGGUAAGAGCGCACCGCGCUUGUGGUAACACUUAAGCGGCAGUGUAAACCCCACCUGGAGCAAGACCAAAUAGGAACUCGCAUAUUGCUGCUCGCAAUUGGGUUCGGGUAGGUCGCUAGAGGUACGUGGUGACGCGUAUCACAGAUGAAUGAUUACCCUCGACAGAACCCGGCUUAUCGGUCGACUCUCAAC